UGGGGAAUAUUGGACAAUGGGGGCAACCCUGAUCCAGCCAUGCCGCGUGUGUGAAGAAGGCCUUUUGGUUGUAAAGCACUUUAAGCGAGGAGGAGGCUACCUGUAUUAAUACUAUAGGCUAGUGGACGUUACUCGCAGAAUAAGCACCGGCUAACUCUGUGCCAGCAGCCGCGGUAAUACAGAGGGUGCGAGCGUUAAUCGGAAUUACUGGGCGUAAAGCGCGCGUAGGCGGUUUGUUAAGUCGGAUGUGAAAUCCCCGGGCUCAACCUGGGAAUUGCAUUCGAUACUGGCAAGCUAGAGUAUGGGAGAGGAAGGUAGAAUUCCAGGUGUAGCGGUGAAAUGCGUAGAGAUCUGGAGGAAUACCGAUGGCGAAGGCAGCCAUCUGGCCUAAUACUGACGCUGAGGUACGAAAGCAUGGGGAGCAAACAGGAUUAGAUACCCUGGUAGUCCCUGAGCGGGCUGGCAAGGCGCAU
rnacentral:rRNA from 1 species